GGGCCUAUCGUCUAUCGGUUAGGACACCAGCCUGUCACGCUGGAAAGACGGGUUCAACUCCCGUUAGGCUCGCCA
rnacentral:tRNA from 2 species